GCUGGCACACAACCUCCCAUGCCAGCAAGUGACACCCCUGCCUCUAGUGCUCAAUCCUCACAUGAAUCUUCAAAAAUACUGCUCGAGCUUCCCCACCAAAGUCUUGGACAGGACUGUAUUUGAAAGGAGAUAGACAGGCAUGAAACUAAGAACUAACCUCACAAGGAUGACUCUAUCCAUCAUAGAAAGAGCUCUGGCUUGCCAUCCCUCAAGUUGCCCCC
rnacentral:lncRNA from 1 species